rnacentral:miRNA from 1 species
UAUAUAUUGUGUUGGCCAAAAAGUUUGUUCAGGUUUUUCCUAUGACGUUAUGGAAAAAUUCAAGCAAACGUUUUGGACAAACUAAUAU